GACGAACGCUGGCGGCGUGCUUAACACAUGCAAGUCGAACGGAAAGGCCCUGCUUUUGUGGGGUGCUCGAGUGGCGAACGGGUGAGUAACACGUGAGUAACCUGCCCUUAACUUUGGGAUAACUUCAGGAAACUGGGGCUAAUACCGGAUAGGAGCUCCUGCUGCAUGGUGGGGGUUGGAAAGUUUCGGCGGUUGGGGAUGGACUCGCGGCUAUCAGCUUGUUGGUGGGGUAGUGGCUUACCAAGGCUUUGACGGGUAGCCGGCCUGAGAGGGUGACCGGCCACAUUGGGACUGAGAUACGGCCCAGACUCCUACGGGAGGCAGCAGUGGGGAAUAUUGCACAAUGGGCGGAAGCCUGAUGCAGCAACGCCGCGUGCGGGAUGACGGCCUUCGGGUUGUAAACCGCUUUCGCCUGUGACGAAGCGUGAGUGACGGUAAUGGAUAAAGAAGCACCGGCUAACUACGUG
rnacentral:rRNA from 1 species